rnacentral:rRNA from 1 species
ACACAUGCAAGUCGUGCGAGAAAGUAUCUUCGGAUAUGAGUAGAGCGGCGGACGGGUGAGUAACGCGUAGGAAUCUACCUAGUAGAAGGGGAUAGCCCGGGGAAACCCGGAUUAAUACCGUAUACCUCCUUCGGGAGAAAGAAGGCCUCUCUUUGAAGCUUUCGCUACUAGAUGAGCCUGCGUAAGAUUAGCUUGUUGGUGAGGUAAAGGCUCACCAAGGCGACGAUCUUUAGCUGGUCUGAGAGGACGAUCAGCCACAUUGGGACUGAGACACGGCCCAGACUCCUACGGGAGGCAGCAGUGGGGAAUAUUGGACAAUGGGCGCAAGCCUGAUCCAGCCAUACCGCGUGUGUGAAGAAGGCCUUCGGGUUGUAAAGCACUUUAAGCAGGGAGAAAAAGUUAUAAGUUAAUACCUUAUAACCCUGAUGUUACCUGUAGAAUAAGCACCGGCUAAUUCCGUGCCAGCAGCCGCGGUAAUACGGAAGGUGCAAGCGUUAAUCGGAAUUACUGGGCGUAAAGCGCGCGUAGGUGGUUUGUUAAGUUGGAUGUGAAAGUCCUGGGCUUAACCUAGGAACUGCAUCCAAAACUAACUCACUAGAGUACGAUAGAGGGAGGUAGAAUUCAUAGUGUAGCGGUGGAAUGCGUAGAUAUUAUGAAGAAUACCAGUGGCGAAGGCGGCCUCCUGGAUCUGUACUGACACUGAGGUGCGAAAGCGUGGGUAGCGAACAGGAUUAGAUACCCUGGUAGUCCACGCCGUAAACGAUGACAACUAGCCGUUGGGAGACAAUGUCUUUCAGUGGCGCAGCUAACGUUUUAAGUUGUCCGCCUGGGGAGUACGGCCGCAAGGCUA